rfam:Schistosoma haematobium scaffold633_7, whole genome shotgun sequence.
AUCCAGCUGACAAGUCCAAAAUAAAACUAAACGCGCGCCCUGGAU